AUUAUUGAUUAUUUGAUUUCCGUAAAACCGUCCACUCGUAACGAGGUAGCAAAUUUUCUUCCCGGAAGUUUCAACAAAACUCACCUUUAGCCUAAUUUGAAUAUUCCGGACACUUUUCGUGUUUUGACUUUUUCGAUCCGGAGUACGGUUUUUCCCGAAGUCGGUCCGGCGGAGUUUUUCGGUUAUUUUAAUUGUUGAUAAUUAUCCAGUUUGUCUCGAUAUACGUGAAAGCUAGAUAUUUUGAUUAUUAUAUUACUUUUUAUCGAAAUACGUGCAAAUGGGACCCGCAGACUAAUCAUUGCUUUUAAAAGCCCCGUUUUGAUGAUUAUCUUGAAAACCGGUAUUGAUUGGACCCCGCUUUAUUAUAUAAAGCUAUUAAAUACGUAUUUUCAUGUCAUAUACGAUCCAAAGGGGUACCAAUUAUUUGUAAAUAUAAAUAGACCUUUCUAUAGCUUUAUUUCACCCGUAAAAUCAUUUCACCAGUUUCUCUGCACGAAUACCGAGAGAAACCGAGCGGUGUUCUUCGUGUUCUUCAUAAUCAAACGAAGAUUUGAAGGUGUUAUUGGAGUCAGAAUCAAGCGUGCAAAUAGUCAAAUCGAAGAUAUCGAAGAGUAGAACCCAAAUUAAUCAUCAAAAACAACAUGAGAUUCACAGGAUUUGGACGAGACGUGUACGCUCGAAGACGUCAGGAAGUCGAAAUGGUAUUGCAAAGCGAAUAAGGGAUGAAUCGAGUAAGCGAAGCGAUGUGGCGAAUAGAGUACGGCUAGAGAUGGUCUAGAAAUUAUAAUAUGAAUAGAUUGUGAAAGUGGAAAGAUGAGGUUGAGCUAUGAGACUGGAGUCAGAUUUAAGGCAAGUAUCCUAAACCUUUCUCUUGGAUAUCUUGCAAUUAUUCUGAUCCAUUCUUUUCGUAUGUGUUGCAAAUAUUCGUUCCUCUCUUUUUCAUAUUUGGAAAGUGCAAAUAUUUUUAUCCAUCCUUUUCUAAUCCUCAAAAAUUCAGAUAAUUCCAGUUUUACAAAUUAAUUCGAAGUUCAAAUUGUCAUUGAAGCAUGUGUUGCUCAGUGAUAGUUAGAGCCUAGAAUGAAAUGGGACCUUCUUGAUUAUUCAACCCGCCAUUGUCAUGCUGGUUUAGCAGGCUAAAUUCAGUUGCUUAGCCGAUAAUGGAGGAUAUUGAAUAGUUAGGGAUUUCCUGAACUAUGAUUUAUGAAAGGAUGGACUGUGACUUAUGAAAAGUUUAUUAUCAAAGUUUGAUUUGAAAUUAUUCAGUUGUUGAUGAUGAUUAUGAUUAUGUUCUGUUAAUUUACAUUGGUUUCUUGAAUUGAAUUAGAGAAUUGGAUUAUUGUUUUUAUAUAAACAUGUGGACCCGAUGAGUGGUCAGACCAGAUGAAUGGUCAUGUUAGGCCAAUGAGUGCCUUGGAUCCAGUGAUAGAGCAUGGCGGGGCCUGCUCGGGGUUAGGUAUGACUGAUCAGCAUCCUAACCUUUGUUUUAAUUAAAAUGUGAUAGUCCAAUUCGAUAAUUCUCUUGGAAAGAUUGAAUUACUCCAGUAUUCCAUUGAUGCAAGGUAUUGUGAAUCAUUCUAUACAAUACCUUAAUCUUAUGAAUUUAUGUCGAAUCUUUUACUAAAGUAUCUUGAGCCUUUGAACUUCUAUCAUAAUGAUUCAGAAUUGUUAUUGUUUAUUAUUACUUGCUGAGCAUUGUUGCUCACUCUUGCUAUUCUCUUUUAACCAUUUCAGAAAGGAUUAAAGAUAAAUGGCUAGACUAUGAUUGCGAAUAAGGCUAAGGCUAGGCGAGGAUUCAGAGUUGAGGAUUCAGUGGUCAAGGAGUAUUCAGGAAGACUUAUAAAGUUGGUGCUAGCUAGAGUUGAGCUAUUGAGAUUCAGAUGUAAUUCAUAGCUGGAACAAAUUGGCAGUGAUUCUUCUUAUCGAAGAUGAUCUGAUUUGGUAAGAGAUGUUGUGUAAUAAUUAGUGAUGGAUUCUAAUUUCAA